rnacentral:lncRNA from 1 species
UAUAAUAUUCCACCAUGUGUAUAUGUGAUGUGUAUCUGUAUAUGUAUGUGUGUAUAUAUACAUUUCCUUUAUCCAUUCAUCUGUUGAUGGACAUUUAGGUUGCUCCCAUGUCUUGGCUAUUGUGAAUAAUGCUACCAUGGACAUGGGAGUUGAGAUACCUCUUUGAGAUUCUGAUUUCAAUUCUUUUCGGAUAUCUGCUCAGAAGAGAGGAAUUGCUAGAUUAUACAGUAGUUCUAUUUUAAAGUUUUUGGGGAACAUCCAUACUGUUUUCCAUAGUGACAAUCCCAGUUUACAUUCUUACCAACAGUGUACCUGGCUCACUUUUCUCUACAAUCUCCCGACACUUAUUAACAGGGUUUUUUUUUGGUUUUUGUUUGGUUUUGUUUUUUUGCUUUUUAGGGCCGCACCUGCCGCAUAUGGAAGUUCCCACACCAGGGGUUGAAUUAGAGCUUUAGCUGCAGGCCUGCGCCACAGCUACAGCAACUCAGGAUCUGAGCCACGUCUGCAACCUACACCACAGCUCACAGCAAUGCCAGAUCCUUAACCCAGUGAACAAGGCCACGGAUCGAACUUUUGUCCUCAUGGAUUCUAGUCAGGUUUGUUAACUGCUGAGCCAUGACAACUUAACAAUUAACAGUUUUUAAAAUAAUAAACAUCCUAGCAGGUGUGAUAUAUCUCAUUGUGGUUUUCAGGUGAAUUUCCCUUAAAAUGAUGGAAAUGAUGAUUAGUGAGUGGAACACAUUUUCAUAUGUCUGUUGGCCAUUUGUACGUCUAAUUAGAGAACUGUGUCUGUUCUGUAGGUUCCCUUUUCCUUUUCUUGGUUGUUUCUUUUGCUGUGCCUUUCUUUUGAUGUAGUCCUACUUGUCUCUUUUUUCUUUUGCUGCUUGUGCUCAUAGAGUCAAAACCAAGAAAUCGCUGCUCUUAGAUUUUCCUCUAUGUUUUGUUAGGGUCAGUUUCAUUUGAAGUAGACGAGCUCAAGACUGGAUAGGCUUGGUUCCUCCAAAGCAAAAUAGGGGUCCACUUACCAAAAAAAGGAGAGAUACUGGGUGGAGAAAACAACAGACCCACCCUAGGCAGAGUGAGUGAUAACCCACCUUCGAUACUUCCAGCUGCAUUUGCAGGGGAGGCAGGAAGUUUCUCUGCUGAUAAAUUGUGUGGGUCAUCAGGAGAACUCCUGCUAGCUCUGGACUGACAACUCCCAGACUCCUUUCAUGAGAAUAAGCUCCUAAUUUGUUUAAGUCAUUAAGAAAAACAUCUUCCAUAUGGAAAGAAAAACAUGACAUAUUUUUCAUGUUGGCAGAGCCAACGUGGGCAUUUUCAUCGCCCAGGGGAAAGCACGAGAGCUCUUUCAUGGUAUUCUAUCGCAAGGUCCUGGAGUGACUUCGGGAGAAAUGAAGAGGUCUUGAAUUCAACCUCCUUCUUUUCAACCCAGCUGAUGCAGUUUCCUUCUUGAAAACAGUCCUGUAUUUCAGUAUAACAUAUAUGUUCCAUAAUAACAAAACGUUGGAACAAAAAGCAAUCGUUGAGUUUAAUGUAAUUCUCAUGUUUUCAGGGGUCUUCAUGAAAAGACCCGAUUUCCAUUUGGUGGGAGCUGAAGUGCUUAAUGAAAUAUUUAUAGAGAGAAGACAGGCUUCCUUGCUGCCUCAUUUAGACUUGCCCUAGAUCAAAUCAAUACUCAAGUGAUCAUAUAAAAGAAAUUAAAACCUUUAAACAGCGGCUAGAACAGUGGUUGAAUUCAAAUCAGGGCAAGUCUAGGGGGAAGAAAGUAAGUGGAAAUGUAUCUCGCACAGCUUUUAGGAAUUGUUCAAUCAUAAUUCAGAGUAAGAUAACCUGGAACUAUAUGUUAAAACACUUAAAUGACUCAUUCAAAAAGGACACCACUAAUUAAAGGGAUAAGAGAUUACCACUGGUGGUUGUGACUGGAACGUAUAUGCAUAUCAUAUUUAUUCUCUGUGAAGAUGCUUCGAAGGCACUUAAAACUCCCAUGUACUUGGUAUUUAUAUUCUGACCCUGCCUUUUGAUUUGAAUGCCUCUUACGUAGGCAAUGCUGGGAGUGGAGGGAAAGGCAGUGUGGGGACAUGGAAAGAACAGAAACUGGAAUUCCGACGGGGACUCGACUCUUCAGGGUCUGCUGCCGUCCAGCCUGGAGCAGUGGUGAGUUUCCUUGGUGCCUCAACUCCCUUCUCAGAAAAGACUGUCACAAUCCUGUCCCAUUUUCACAUCCUGUGAUUUUGCAAGUCAGGCGCAGCAGCACAACUUACAAGGAAAGCAUGUGAGCAACAAAACUAAGCCUUCCAGAGCCUCUGCCAACAGUAAACCAAAGUCCAGCAGUCACUGUGCCUCGUACCUUAUAUUCACUCAUAUGCAUAUAUGCUACACACAUCACACACAACACGUCAUACACAUACACAUCACACAUCAAGUAUCCAUAUGAAACAUACAUCAUAUAGACAUAUAAAUAAGAUAUAUACAUGAUAUGUACAUGAUAUAUGUGUACACACACACACACACACACACACACACACACACACACACACGUGCGCGCGAGCGCGCAUUGCAGUAUCUACCAAGUAUCAGGCUCUGCAUUACAGGAAAUCCAUAUAGCAGGUGCUGAGUCAAGUUUCAAAGUACAGGCUCUUCAGCCAGACUUCUUUCUAUGAGUCCUGGCCACUCUACUUGCUAGGUAACUUUAGAUGAGAGUUUUAUUUUUUCCCCAGAUCCCAUCCCAAUGAAAUGAGCCCUAUUUUUUUUUUUUUUCCUUUCUCAUUUUAUGGCUGCAGGUGAGGCAUAUGGAAGUUUCUGGGCUAGGGGUCGAACUGGAGCUGCAGCUGCAGGCCUAUUCCAUAGCCACAGCCACAGCCACGGCAGAUCCGAGCUGCAUCUUUGAUCUAUGUCCUGCAGCUUGUGGUGAACUCCAGAUCCUUAAUUCACUGAGAGAAGCCAGGGAUUGAACUCACAUCCUCACGUCAAGCCACGGUUGCCAUCUAUGCCAUCGGAUCCUUAACCCACUUUGCCCUGCAUCCCAGCGCCCCAGAGAUGCUUCCAGCCCCAAUGUGCCACAGCAGGAACUCCAAGUUGAGCCUUUCUCAUCAAGUUUUCUGAAAGGCUUUCGGGGAUCCGGGAAGAAGCUGAGCUUGUCUGCCUGGACCAUGUCCAUGUCCAAGAACUGGCACCGAUCAGGACAAACCAUGUACCACAUCCCCAGGCCCUCGGCAGAGCCCUUUAGACCUUUUACUUAACCUCGGUGCACCUCAAUUUUGUCCUUUUAAAACUGGGGACAAAUCCCAGUUUCUACCUCAUGGUGCUGGCAUGAGGCCCGAAUGAGUUAAUACGUAAAGACAUACCCAUAUUUCUGCCCAGUGUACAUACUCUGCUCACUGUCAGGCCAUUUAAUGCUCCCAAGAUCUUUAUAAUGUACAGUGUUGGUUCAAAAUCUCAAGGACUUGGAGGGUGAAAUCUGAAACUGGCCUUAAAAUAGGGAGGGCGAGGCGAGACCGAGGAAGGAGGCAGGCGGCUCCUGAUUGGUGGAUGCAGCUCUAACAAGCCAGGGAAUUUACAUACGGGGCGUGUCUUGGGCACCGCACGAUGGAAGUAGAUCUGUAUCCAGGGCCAUAGGUUUUUACACAGGGGCCUUAACGGGUUUCAGUCACAGAUUCAGUCUGAUGGUCUCAACCACACCUCUGGCCAGUCUUCAUCCUUGAAACAGCUCACUGAGGGAGAAGGUGGAAUGCACCUUCCAAGGAUGGGAGCUGGGGAGGAGCUUCUGAUCGCCUGAGUUGGGCUCACAGGUCAGUCGGCGGUCAGGUCCUCUCACAGACGUCAGCAGUGUAGAUAUUUUUACCUCUAUAUCACGUGGCAUCUGAAGGUCAACGAGACUGAGCCAUUUGCCCAACAUCAUCCUGGGAUCUGAUACAACUGUUACGGUCAGAGUAGGCAGUUUGAUGCUGUUCUCCAUGGCAGAAAAUUGUCACCAGGCAAGGUGCUCCCUUGUCUCUGGGUCACGUGGCUGACUUUUUGUUUCAAGCCGAUUCCAGCUUCAAUCCAUAACCCAUGUCCACCUUCUGCAGGGGGCGAGAAUGUUCCCUUUCAUCCAUAAAGGGUAACCAGCUGCAGGAAGAGGCAACAGUCGUGACAUUACCAUCUACAGGCCGCUCUGGGGGCCAAGAGAGGUGCUGAGACCAACUGGCCAAGGGCUGCAGAAAAGUUAGGUGCUCUGCGGGAGAAAGUAAAUGCUAAAUCAUCAAGAGAUGCAUAGAGGUACACUUCAGAGCUACUGCAAUAGAGUAGGUAUCAUAAGGAAGCCAGUCACGGGAAUUUUUUGGUUUCCCAGUGCAUAUAAAUGUUAUGCUUACAUUAUACUGGAAUCUGUUGUGUACAAUAGCAUUAUGACAAAAGAACCCCAACGUCCAUAUUUUAAAAAACACAUUAUUGCAGGAGUUCUCCUAUGGCUCAGCGUGUUAAGGAUCUGGCAUUGUCACUAUAGCGACUUGGGUCCCUGCUGUGGUUCGUGUUCUGUCCCUGGUGCAGGAACUUCCACAUGCUGCAGGUGAGGCCAAAAAAAAUCUUUUUUAUUACUAAAAAAUGCUGUCAUUUGCACUUCUGGUGAGUCGGUGAGUAGUAACAUCAAAGAUCACUGAUCUCCAAGCGAAUAUAUUAUUCGUUAUUGCUAAUGAAAUAGUUUGAAAUAUUGCGAGAAUUACCAAAAUGUGACCCAGGUAGGAGGUGAGAAAAUGCUGUUGGAAAUAAUGGCGCCAAUAGACCUGCUGGAAGCACGGUUGUCAUAAAAUUUCAGUUUGUGCGAAACAAAACAUAUGCGAAGCACGAUAAAGCGGAGUGCAAUGAAACCAGCUAUGCCUGUGUAUUAGUACCUGUGAAAUGGAGUUUUAACUAAAGAACAACCCCCCCCCCUUGGCUAAGAAGGCAGAUGGAGGCCUUUCCAGCUAUGCUCAUCACUAUGCCACCCUUCUUGUAAUAAUGUAACAACUGUGUGCUCUCUGUCCAAGCCAGCAGCCCUGCUGAUUAGGUACCCAGCAUUGCUUAUCAGUUCUGCUUCUGUAACCUUGCUUGCUCAGUUUCUUAGGGAGGAACACUGCUUGGGGAUGGGAGAGGUCCGGGAUGCUUACAUGGGAAAAUCAAGACUUGUAGUGUAUAAAAGUUACUGAGAACAAAGACCUGGUGCUCAGACUCUGGGGGUGACUCCUCUGAGCCCGCACCGCUGCUGAAUAAACCUUGCUUUUC